rnacentral:lncRNA from 10 species
CGACAUUUGGAUUUGCACCUCUCUCUCUCUUUCUUUCUCUCUCUCUUUUGAUUUUCUAUCCCUCUUUCUCUCUCCGCCCCACUUUCUACAGAGCCAUUAAAACACCUCUUUACCUUCACACAAGGUGAACUUGAAUCGCUAUUGGCCUCACGGAUCAGGCUGCCACGCAGGGGAAAAGACAGGCAGAGCGGGUGGGAGUGUGGCCAGGAGGCAGGUGCUGAAGAGGAAAUCCCACGGAUUCCUGUCAACUCCCGUCUCCUUCCGAGAGCCCCGCAGCCCCGGGAGAGAAAGGAACUGAGAACUGGGUUCUGCUUCCCCGGACGCCGAGCAACCUGGCUUUUCUAUGAGAAUGCUAGACUGGGAUCAGUUCCUUCCUAGGGGGUGCACAUACGUGUGUUCACAACUGAACGUCUGUGCCCACGUUUAGGAACGUUUGUGAGACUGUUCCAGACUCUGCUUGCAAGGAGAAGGAGGUGCAGCUACCGAUUUAUGAGUAAAGGGACGGUUCCCUGGUGUGGGCACUGUUGGUGGGGGCUGGGGUCAGGGUGGUCCCAGCAGAUUCCCCACAGCUCGGGCUUCCUACUUUCCUACUUCUCACAGGCUGUUUGUGAAACAGCCUGUUCUUCGACUUGCCUGGUAAUUUCCCGACCCUCUCUCUUUCGUAUUCUCCCCAUGGCCGUAGUCUUUUGUCUGGGAUUAUUUCUGCUCUGUGAGCACAAGCAUUUGUUUGAUGUCUCAGACAUCAGAUAUACUGUAUACUCUCCGAGUGGCUGAAGAAAGCAGGAUUUUUGCUUUUGAAAACUCCACCGGCAAGAAUGAGAAAAAGCAGUCUGAACUGCAGACACAAAGGAUGGGAGAGAUAGGAAGGAACAGCACCAGGCAGGCGUGAUCAGGGGCCUCUCCCUCCCUGCAACGCACUGCGGGGACAGCGGUUCCUCUUGGCCUGGGGCUGUGCUGCGUGGACAUGUAACAGCAGUAAACUGCCUGCAAGCCAGAAAGGAAAUCGAUACAGCCGCGAAGGGGUGGCCUGCCUUUGUCGAUACGCUUCCAGUUUGUGCUGGCUGAGAGGGAGCCCUCCUUAUGACAGUAACGCCUCUGUAUCCACGCCUCCACCUCCCGACUGAUCCUCGGUAUAGGUUUCUUACUAAAUUUUUGGGUCUUGUAAACUGCCUUCUGUCUUUUGUAAGUUGGCUACAUAGUUAGACAGAGAAUUAGAUAAUGGAUCUACAGAGAGAAACCAGGAAGGAAACCCUAAGUAUCUUGUCCAUGGUACCUGGUC